UAGUAGUAUAGGAUAGCCACUAGAAAUGGUGGGUAAUACUGUAUAAUCCCUGCGGGGGAAAGAUUUAUCGCUACUAGAUGAGCCUAUGUCAGAUUAGCUAGUUGGUGGGGUAAUGGCCCACCAAGGCUGUGAUCUGUAGCUGGUCUGAGAGGAUGAUCAGCCACACUGGAACUGAGACACGGUCCAGACUCCUACGGGAGGCAGCAGUGGGGAAUAUUGGACAAUGGGCGCAAGCCUGAUCCAGCUAUGCCGCGUGAGUGAGGAAGGCCUUAGGGUUGUAAAACUCUUUCAGUAGGGAAGAUAAUGACGGUACCUACAGAAGAAGUCCCGGCAAACUCCGUGCCAGCAGCCGCGGUAAUACGGAGGGGGCAAGCGUUGUUCGGAAUUAUUGGGCGUAAAGGGCAUGUAGGCGGUUUGGUAAGUUAAAGGUGAAAUACCAGGGCUUAACCCUGGGGCUGCUUUUAAUACUGCAGGACUAGAGUCCGG
rnacentral:rRNA from 1 species